rnacentral:rRNA from 1 species
UACGUAGGUGGCGAGCGUUGUCCGGAUUUACUGGGCGUAAAGAGCGCGCAGGCGGUCGGUCAAGUCGAGUGUGAAAGCCCCCGGCUCAACUGGGGAGGGUCAUUCGAUACUGAUCGACUCGAAGGCAGGAGAGGGUAGUGGAAUUCCCGGUGUAGUGGUGAAAUGCGUAGAUAUCGGGAGGAACACCAGUGGCGAAGGCGACUACCUGGCCUGUUCUUGACGCUGAGGCGCGAAAGCUAGGGGAGCAAACGGG